GAUGAACGCUGGCGGCGUGCCUAAUACAUGCAAGUCGAGCGAACAGACGAGGAGCUUGCUCCUCUGACGUUAGCGGCGGACGGGUGAGUAACACGUGGAUAACCUACCUAUAAGACUGGGAUAACUUCGGGAAACCGGAGCUAAUACCGGAUAAUAUAUUGAACCGCAUGGUUCAAUGGUGAAAGACGGUUUUGCUGUCACUUAUAGAUGGAUCCGCGCCGCAUUAGCUAGUUGGUAAGGUAACGGCUUACCAAGGCAACGAUGCGUAGCCGACCUGAGAGGGUGAUCGGCCACACUGGAACUGAGACACGGUCCAGACUCCUACGGGAGGCAGCAGUAGGGAAUCUUCCGCAAUGGGCGAAAGCUUGACGGAGCAACGCCGCGUGAGUGAUGAAGGUCUUCGGAUCGUAAAACUCUGUUAUUAGGGAAGAACAAAUGUGUAAGUAACUAUGCACGUCUUGACGAUACCUAAUCAGAAAGCCACGGCUAACUACGUG
rnacentral:rRNA from 1 species